rnacentral:rRNA from 1 species
UUGGGACUGAGACACGGCCCAAACUCCUACGGGAGGCAGCAGUGGGGAAUAUUGGGCAAUGGGGGGAACCCUGACCCAGCAACGCCGCGUGGAGGAAGAAGGUUUUCGGAUCGUAAACUCCUGUCCUUGGAGACGAGUAGAAGACGGUAUCCAAGGAGGAAGCCCCGGCUAACUACGUGCCAGCAGCCGCGGUAAUACGUAGGGGGCAAGCGUUGUCCGGAAUAAUUGGGCGUAAAGGGCGCGUAGGCGGCUCGGUAAGUCUGGAGUGAAAGUCCUGCUUUUAAGGUGGGAAUUGCUUUGGAUACUGUCGGGCUUGAGUGCAGGAGAGGUUAGUGGAAUUCCCAGUGUAGCGGUGAAAUGCGUAGAGAUUGGGAGGAACACCAGUGGCGAAGGCGACUAACUGGACUGUAACUGACGCUGAGGCGCGAAAGUGUGGGGAGCAAACAGGAUUAGAUACCCUGGUAGUCCACACUGUAAACGAUGAAUGCUAGGUGUAGGGGGUAUCGACCCC